CUCACCAGUGACUGUGCUCCACGCAGAUCUGUCAACUACAACACAGAGAUACUUCCACUCACCGCAGCUUCUCCUCUCGCCAACCUCCCUGAUGAUGAUGUGGCCCCGCUAAUGGACACACUGUGUGAAGGCUCAGGAGUCCAACUGACACCCGAGAUGAUCAGAGCAGAAUUCUUGUGUGGAGAAGUUCUCGUCUCCAUUAGCAACCUCGACGCAGGAAAGACAACCGUGCACCAGAGGCAGCAUCACAUUGAGGCGACCUACAGGUCUGAGUUUAACCAGAUGGGAAAAAGAGUGAUGACUAGACUGAAGCAACUUGGAGUCACUGACAGAACUUCUCAUUUACCUGAAGAAGACCGUGAAAAGCCGAAGCCUGUGCACACACAUCCUAUACACUCACAUGAGUAAACACCACUGCAAGACUACAGAUAAGCAUUAUACCCAUCCUACUCACUCAUACAACACUCUCCUUUGUUGGCCCUGACAUGUCUUUGAAAUAAAACCUGGUUACUUUCCCACCCACUCAUAAGCCUCCUUUCUACCCACUCAAAAUUACCAGUGAGCUCCCCUACUGUGCUUUUACAAAGCCUGAAAAUUUGUUAUCCCUCCACCUACUCAGAUUCAUAUAUAAGCAUGGCUGCAUUUUACACACCAUUACCUACAUUAAAUGAAAUAUGAUCGUUCU
ensembl:lncRNA